rnacentral:tRNA from 1 species
CCCUAAUUAGCUCAAUUGGUAGAGCGCUCCACCUGUAAUGGAGAGGUCCCGGGUUCGAUACCCGGACCAGGCG